CAGCAAAGCAGAAGAAAUAGUGAAGUUUUCCAAACCCUAAGAUCUUUAGGCCCCCUGGAUUAUUAGUCUGAGUCGUGAUCUCAGGGUUGUGAGAUCCAGCCCUGCCUCAAGCUCCAUGGAUCAGACUACAGCUGCAAGUCAGGCAAAAUGAAUUCCUGCACGGUAGAA